CCUCCAUAGCCUCCAUCUCUCAUUCUCUCCCUCUCUGAGCACUCUCCAUAACCAACAUUUGGUAACUUUAGUCGUUUUGGCUCUUUUGGGUCCGGCGGGGUUCAUAGAAAAUCGAAAUCAAGUUCCUGUUUUGCAGCGUAUUCACUUCAAUUGAGAAGUUGUGCUGAAAUUAAUUUGAAGACAGAGAAGAAGAAGGAAGAGUUUACACAGAAUUAUGCCAAGGAUUGACAAAGAUAGAAAAAUCAAAGGCAUACUAUCUUAUUGAUAGAUUGAUUCGUCUUGUUUUGAUUCUUCUAAUGUCUACAGUAACUACCGAACGAGCAUUUUCAGCAAUGAAAAUUGUUAAGACACGACUUCGCAAUAAAAUGGAGCAUGAUUUUCUUGCAAGUAGUUUAGUUCUCUAUAUUGAAAGGAAAAUUGC